rnacentral:tRNA from 1 species
GCACGAUCAGGAUGAUCGCCAGCGGCAGCGUGGUGCUCUCGUAGGUGGCCGCCAGCACCAGGAACACCAGCAGCAC